GAAUUUUAUAUAAAUUUGUUUAAUUAGUUGGUUUGUUAGUACGUGAGAUAAAUUUAUAUUUGGUUGGGAGGAUAAUUAAAUUAGAAAAACUUUAUUUUUAAUUAAAUCAUUGAUAUAUGAAGGUUAAAUGAAUGGUUACUAAAUUUAAAAAGAAUUAAUUACCUUAGGGAUAACAGCGUUAUAUUUUUAGAAAGAUCAUAUUAAUAAAGAUGAUUGC
rnacentral:rRNA from 1 species